rnacentral:rRNA from 1 species
GGGAACGUACCCUUCGGUUCGGAAUAACUCAGGGAAACUUGAGCUAAUACCGGAUACGCCCUUUUGGGGAAAGGUUUACUGCCGAAGGAUCGGCCCGCGUCUGAUUAGCUUGUUGGUGGGGUAACGGCCUACCAAGGCGACGAUCAGUAGCUGGUCUGAGAGGAUGAUCAGCCACACUGGGACUGAGACACGGCCCAGACUCCUACGGGAGGCAGCAGUGGGGAAUAUUGGACAAUGGGCGCAAGCCUGAUCCAGCCAUGCCGCGUGAGUGAUGAAGGCCUUAGGGUUGUAAAGCUCUUUUGUCCGGGACGAUAAUGACGGUACCGGAAGAAUAAGCCCCGGCUAACUUCGUGCCAGCAGCCGCGGUAAUACGAAGGGGGCUAGCGUUGCUCGGAAUCACUGGGCGUAAAGGGCGCGUAGGCGGCCGAUUAAGUCGGGGGUGAAAUCCCAGAGCUCAACUCUGGAACUGCCUUUGAUACUGGGUAUCUUGAGUAUGGAAGAGGUAAGUGGAAUUGCGAGU